rnacentral:lncRNA from 1 species
UUCUUCUAUUCGGUUUGUCUCUUUGGAAUAACAUAGCUGUAUGUUUAAUCUUCAUAACCUCAGACCGUCAGCUGUUAAAUACAAACAAUGUAGGAGUUACAACAGUUAGUUACCGUUUAGCACUUGUAAACAGUGGACAUUCGUGUAAGACGAUCUGGGUAAAACGUAGGAACAGACUAUGGGUAAAUCAAAGAAUUUACUUGAAAACGAAA